AGAGGCUUUUUUCUGAUGUCGCAUGUGUCAGGCGUUUACCAGACUGCCUUAAGCUUCCUGGCUCAUGAAUGAACAUUGCACAGUAAACCUGCAACACUCAAUGAACUCCUGCAGUGCAAAAUGUUCCUGCCUUAAAAGACGGGAGGGAAGUGCGGCUCUACAAGUCUAUGAAGCACUGAGGAUCGUCUGAGACUCACAGGCACUUUAUGGUUCUUAUCCCUGGCUGGUGUCUCUGAGGUUCAGAGGAGCACAUUUCCAUCCUCGCCGAGCGCUGGCUUC